rnacentral:ncRNA from 1 species
GAUCAAGCGAAUAAGCGCACACGGUGGAUGCCUUGGCGGUCAGAGGCGAUGAAGGACGUGGCAGCCUGCGAAAAGUAUCGGGGAGCUGGCAACAAGCUUUGAUCCGGUAAUGUCCGAAUGGGGAAACCCACCCGCUUGCGGGUAUCCUGCAGUGAAUACAUAGCUGCUGGAGGCAAACCCGCUGAACUGAAACAUCUAAGUAGGCGGAGGAGAAGAAAACAAAAGUGAUUCCGUAAGUAGUGGCGAGCGAACGCGGAAGAGCCUUUACGUUUUAGCAUUCAGGAUAGUCGAACGGAAUGGAAAGUCCGGCCGUAGCAGGUGAUAGCCCUGUAGACGAAAUUUUGAGUGUGGAACUAAGCGUAAGAAAAGUAGGGCGGGACACGUGAAAUCCUGUUUGAAGAUGGGGG